AUGAUGGCCGAGCAAUUCUACACAGUGGCAUCUGACAGCGAAACCACUGGGGACGACAAAGCACAACAAUCAUUCCCUGAUGUUGCUAUCGGCAUUGAUAUUGGCACUUCAAGAUGCAGUGUUGCUAUUUGGAAUGGUCAUCAAGUGGAGCUACUGAAAAACACUCGGAGCCAGAAAGGGAUGAGGUCAUAUGUCAUGUUCAAAGAUGACACCCUUUCAGCGGGUGUUACUGGAGGAGCAACCCAGGAGCACCCACACGAGGAAAGAGAUAUCUUGUCAGGAAGUGCAAUAUUUAACAUGAAGCGUUUAAUCGGGAGAAUGGACACAGAUGAAGUGGUUCAAGCUAGCAAGACUCUCCCUUUCCUUGUGCAGACACUGGGUAUUGGUGUGAGGCCAUUUAUUGCAGCUCUGGUCAACAAUAUGUGGCGCUCCACAACUCCUGAGGAAGUUCUUGCCAUCUUUCUUCUUGAAUUAAAGGCCCUGGUGGAAAUGCAUCUCAAGCAUCCAGUGAGGAAUGCUGUUCUAACCAUCCCAGUUGCAUUCAGUCGCUUCCAGCAGACCAGGAUCGAGAGAGCAUGUGCAAUGGCUGGACUGCAUGUGCUGAGGCUUAUGCCAGAGCCCACUGCUGUUGCUCUUCUGUAUGCUCAGCAGCAGCAGCAGCUUAUGCAUGAUAACAUGGGAAGUGGCAUUGAGAAAAUCGCCCUGAUAUUUAACAUCGGUGCUGGUUAUUGUGACGUUGCGGUGUCUGCAACUGCUGGAGGUGUUUCUCAGAUAAGAGCACUCGCAGGUUGCACCGUUGGUGGAGAGGACAUUCUUCAGAACGCAAUGUGCCACCUUCUACCCAAUUAUGAUAGCUUAUGUGACAAUGCUGGUCCAACUACGGACAGGAUCAAGUCAAUGGCUUUACUGCGGAUGGCAACUCAGGAUGCGAUUCACAAACUGGCCUCCCAGGAAAGCAUUGAGAUCAAUGCAGACUUGGGUAAUGGCCUCAAAGUGUCCAAGCUGUUGAGUCGUGCAGAGUUUGAACAGGUGAAUCAGGCGAUCUUUGAGAAAUGUGAGAGGAUCAUCAAUCAAUGCUUGUCAGAUGCAAAGUUAACGCCAGAAGACAUCAAUGAUGUGAUCUUGGUUGGAGGGUGUUCCAGAAUUCCCAAGAUCAGAAGCCUUGUCCUGGGAUUAUGCAAGAAGGAAGAAUCUUAUGGGAGCAUCGACCAUCUUGAAGCCGCUGUUUCAGGUGCUGCACUGGAAGGAGCCAUCGCUUCAGGAGUCACCGAUCCUUCCGGGAGCCUGGAUCUGCUGACGAUUCAGGCGACCCCGAUGAACCUCGGAAUCCGUGCCGACGGGGACGGCUUUGCAGCCAUCAUUCCAAGGAACACCGCUGUUCCGGCUAGGAGGGACAUGCUGUUCACAACAACGCAGGACAACCAGGCCGAGGCGCUGAUCGCCGUCUACGAAGGCGAGGGGGAGCAGGCGGAAGAGAACCAUCUCCUAGGGUACUUCAAGAUCACCGGCAUCCCGCCGGCGCCCAAGGGUGCCGUCGAGAUCAGCGUCUGCAUGGACAUCGACGCCGGCAACGUCCUCAGGGUGUUUGCUGGCGUCGUGAAGCCGCAAGGCGAGGCCACCCCGCCGUUCAUGGAGGUGAGGAUGCCCACGCUGGACGACGGCCAUGGCUGGUGCGGGCAGGCCCUGGCGAAGAUGUACGGCAGCAAGCUCGACCUCGCUGUAAUCCCUAAGAAGCUGCAUCCGUAA
rnacentral:rRNA from 1 species